rnacentral:rRNA from 1 species
UACGUAGGGUGCAAGCGUUGUCCGGAAUUAUUGGGCGUAAAGAGCUCGUAGGCGGUCUGUCGCGUCUGCUGUGAAAACUCGGGGCUUAACCCCGGGCCUGCAUUGGGUACGGGCAGACUAGAGUGCGGUAGGGGAGACUGGAAUUCCUGGUGUAGCGGUGAAAUGCGCAGAUAUCAGGAGGAACACCGGUGGCGAAGGCGGGUCUCUGGGCCGAUACUGACGCUGAGGAGCGAAAGCAUGGGUAGCGAACAGG